GCCAGUGUAGUGCAGUGGUUUGGGUGUUGGACUAGUACUCUGGAAACAAGGGGUUGAAUCCCUUCUUGGUCA